UGGGGAAUUUUGCACAAUGGGGGAAACCCUGAUGCAGCGACGCCGCGUGAUUUAGAAGGCCUUCGGGUUGUAAAAAUCUUUUCUAUGGGAAGAAAAUGACAGUACCAUAGGAAUAAGGACCGGCUAAUUACGUGCCAGCAGCCGCGGUAAUACGUAAGGUCCGAGCGUUGUCCGGAAUCAUUGGGCGUAAAGGGUACGUAGGCGGGUAAGCAAGUUAGAAGUGAAAUCCUAUAUCUCAACUAUAGUAAGCUUUUAAAACUGCUCAUCUUGAGGUAUGGAAGGGAAAUUAGAAUUCCUAGUGUAGCGGUGAAAUGCGCAGAUAUUAGGAGGAAUACCGGUGGCGAAGGCGACUUUCUGGCCAUAACCUGACGCUGAGGUACGAAAGCGUGGGUAGCAAACAGG
rnacentral:rRNA from 1 species